rnacentral:rRNA from 1 species
AUUGAACGCUGGCGGCAGGCCUAACACAUGCAAGUCGAGCGGAUGAAGGGAGCUUGCUCCUGGAUUCAGCGGCGGACGGGUGAGUAAUGCCUAGGAAUCUGCCUGGUAGUGGGGGAUAACAUCCGGAAACGGGCGCUAAUACCGCAUACGUCCUGAGGGAGAAAGUGGGGGAUCUUCGGACCUCACGCUAUCAGAUGAGCCUAGGUCGGAUUAGCUAGUUGGUGGGGUAAAGGCCUACCAAGGCGACGAUCCGUAACUGGUCUGAGAGGAUGAUCAGUCACACUGGAACUGAGACACGGUCCAGACUCCUACGGGAGGCAGCAGUGGGGAAUAUUGGACAAUGGGCGAAAGCCUGAUCCAGCCAUGCCGCGUGUGUGAAGAAGGUCUUCGGAUUGUAAAGCACUUUAAGUUGGGAGGAAGGGCAGUAAGUUAAUACCUUGCUGUUUUGACGUUACCAACAGAAUAAGCACCGGCUAACUUCGUG